AUGUUGUCCAAUUUGGCCUCUAACUCCUGGGUUCAAGCAAUCCUCCUGUUUCAGCCUCUCAAUUAACUUGGACGGCAGCCCCAUGCCACUGUGUUCAGCUAAUAGUUUCUUAACCUGAGAGAACAUUCUGUAGUUAAGAGUCCCAUAUUAAGGGCCAGGUGGCAGUGGCGCAGCCAGUAAUUCCUGCAACUUGGGAGGCUGAGGCAGGAGGAUCACAAGUUCAAGGCUAGCCUCAGCAACUUAGCAAGAUCCUUGCCUCUAAAUAAAUAAAUUAAUUAAAAUGCCCCUAGGUUCAAUCCCCAGUACAAAAAAGAAAAAAGUCCAUAUCAAGUAAUCCUGACUCCAUCAACUGCUAGUUAGAACCUGUGUCUUCCAAUAGCCCUGAACUGUCCAUCAAGAACACCCAAGAAACACCUGGAGAAGACACCAUGGAGGUCAGAGCCACUUGCACUCAGCUUCACAAGCACUAAGUUUGAUUGCCAGCUUUGCCCUCCCCAGCUCCAGGGCUCUGAGCCUUUUUGGAGGACAGACCCUAACCUCACAUCUGCUAGCUUUCAGGAAGCUGUCCUUCUCAGGAUGUGAAGGGGCAGGGGUCUUUAGAAGAACACAAGUUCCUCUAGCCCUUGUCUGCUGCAGACUUUUCUUGCAGGCACUGGGGACUCGGUGGAUAUUUGGACAAAUUACACCUUGCACCUUUCUCUCCCCGUCCCCUUCCUGCUCUGAGCUCCCUCCUUUCUAAAAGGUAUAUUAACUGGAAACAAUUCUUCCAUUUUCAGAAGUCCCUGCAGGGAGUCAAAGCAAUCCUCCCCCAAUCAAACCACCUUGCCCCAGACAGUGGCUGCCUUUCUGCAUUUCCCCAGGGGCUGGACUUAACAGAGCUGCCCCUACUCUCAGAUGAGGGGAACCCAAAACCUAUUUAUACCAGGAGGAGGAAUUUGGCAGAGAUUCUUUCCCUGGGCACCCCGAGGGGGAAAGCAAACAGAAGCUUUUUUUUCCCCCUUUAUCAUUUCCUGUAGUUUAAAAAAAAACAGGAGAGGAAUGCAAACAUGCAGGAGAUAAUGUAUUUAAGCACCAGGUAAUAAAAAGAUUUAGCAAGAACGGCCAGGGGAGCCGCACAGCCAGAUAAGCCCCGCCCCCGCACCGACUCAGUCUUGACGACCGUCCAAAGCUGCCCGCCUCUGCGCUGGAUCUGCAGGGCUUCGCUUCCUGUCCCUAACUCUGUCCUACCCCUCAUCUAAG
rnacentral:lncRNA from 1 species